CAGCAUGAACUUAGCUUGCUAAGUUUGAUGGCGACCGGCGCACGGGUGAGUAACACGUAUCCAACCUCCCGCUUACUCAGGAAUAGCCUUUCGAAAGAAAGAUUAAUGCCUGAUGGUAUCUUAAGCACACAUGUAAUUAAGAUUAAAGAUUUAUCGGUGAUGGAUGGGGAUGCGUCUGAUUAGCUGGUUGGCGGGGUAACGGCCCACCAAACCGACGAUGGAUAGGGGUUCUGAGAGGAAGGUCCCCACAUUGGUACUGAGAUACGGACCAAACUCC
rnacentral:rRNA from 1 species